GGGGGCGAAAUGGAUUCGACGGUAUUCAGCGAGCCGUGACCUGCAUGUCGAGUUCCCGGAACCUCGUUAAUAAUCCGGAACCGCAAUAAAUGCGGAAAAUAAUCUAGCACUGGCCGCUUAAUAUAGCGACCACGUCCCUUAGGUAGUCGAGCUUCGGACGACCUAAUGCGGGCGCCGUAAUACGAAGCGCGUUGCGGAAGGUUUUUCGUGCCGACCGUAAUUGCUAUCAUCGCGGAAUAGCGCGGAGAAAGCUAUGCACUGCGGCGUUUUCCGUGCGAAAAUAAAUGCCGUGCUAAGCAUGUAGAUGGUCCCGGAGAGCGUUUAUCGGACCCGGGUUCGAUUCCCGGCGCCUCCACCA
rnacentral:tmRNA from 1 species